AGUCCGCUGAGGAGCGAAAGCAUGGGGAGCGAACAGGAUUAGAUACCCUGGUAGUCCAUGCCGUAAACGUUGGGCACUAGGUGUGGGGACCAUUCCACGGUCUCUGCGCCGCAGCUAACGCAUUAAGUGCCCCGCCUGGGGAAUGCGGCCGCAAGGCUAAAACUCAAAGGAAUUGACGGGGGCCCGCACAAGCGGCGGAGCAUGCGGAUUAAUUCGAUGCAACGCGAAGAACCUUACCAAGGCUUGACAUGUUCUCGGCUACCGUAGAGAUACGGUUUCCCCUUUGGGGCGGGUUCACAGGUGGUGCAUGGUUGUCGUCAGCUCGUGUCGUGAGAUGUUGGGUUAAGUCCCGCAACGAGCGCAACCCUCGUUCGUACUUGCCAGCACGUCGUGGUGGGGACUCAUGGGAGACUGCCGGGACUGACUCGGAGGAAGGUGAGGACGACGUCAAAUCAUCAUGCCCCUUAUGUCUUGGGCUUCACGCAUGCUACAAUGGCCGGUACAAUGGGUUGCGAUACUGUGAGGUGGAGCUAAUCCCAAAAGACCGGUCUCAGUUCGGAUUGGGGUCUGCAACUCGACCCCAUGAAGUCGGAGUCGCUAGUAAUCGCAGAUCAGCAACGCUGCGGUGAAUACGUUCCCGGGCCUUAAACACACCGCCCGUCAAGUCACGAAAGUCGGUAACACCCGAAGCCGGUGGCCU
rnacentral:rRNA from 1 species